AGGGUUCGAUUCUGGCUCAGGAUGAACGCUAGCUACAGGCUUAACACAUGCAAGUCGAGGGGUAGCAGGAUCUAGCAAUAGAUUGCUGACGACCGGCGCACGGGUGAGUAACACGUAUCCAACCUUCCGUUUACUCGGGGAUAGCCUUUCGAAAGAAAGAUUAAUACCCGAUAGUAUGCUUUUCCCGCAUGGGAGAAUCAUUAAAGUUUUUCGGUAAUCGAUGGGGAUGCGUUCCAUUAGGCAGUUGGUGAGGUAACGGCUCACCAAACCUUCGAUGGAUAGGGGUUCUGAGAGGAAGGUCCCCCACAUUGGAACUGAGACACGGUCCAAACUCCUACGGGAGGCAGCAGUGAGGAAUAUUGGUCAAUGGACGAGAGUCUGAACCAGCCAAGUAGCCGUGAAGGAUGACUGCCCUAUGGGUUGUAAACUUCUUUUAUAUGGGAAUAAAGGAGCCUACGUGUAGGUUUUUGUAUGUACCAUACGAAUAAGGAUCGGCUAACUCCGUGCCAGCAGCAGC
rnacentral:rRNA from 1 species